rnacentral:rRNA from 1 species
GACGAACGCUGGCGGCGUGCUUAACACAUGCAAGUCGAACGGAAAGGCCCUGCUUUUGUGGGGUGCUCGAGUGGCGAACGGGUGAGUAACACGUGAGUAACCUGCCCUUGACUUUGGGAUAACUUCAGGAAACUGGGGCUAAUACCGGAUAGGAGCUCCUGCUGCAUGGUGGGGGUUGGAAAGUUUCGGCGGUUGGGGAUGGACUCGCGGCUUAUCAGCUUGUUGGUGGGGUAGUGGCUUACCAAGGCUUUGACGGGUAGCCGGCCUGAGAGGGUGACCGGCCACAUUGGGACUGAGAGACGGCGCAGACUCCUACGGGAGGCAGCAGUGGGGAAUAUUGCACAAUGGGCGGAAGCCUGAUGCAGCAACGCCGCGUGCGGGAUGACGGCCUUCGGGUUGUAAACCGCUUUGGCCUGUGACGAAGCGUGAGUGACGGUAAUGGGUAAAGAAGCACCGGCUAACUACGUG